UACGGAGGGUGCAAGCGUUAUCCGGAUUCACUGAGUUUAAAGGGUGCGUAGGUGGGCAAGUAAGUCAGUGGUGAAAUCUCCGGGCUUAACCCGGAAACUGCCAUUGAUACUAUUUGUCUUGAAUACUGUGGAGGUCAGCGGAAUAUGUCAUGUAGCGGUGAAAUGCUUAGAUAUGACAUAGAACACCAAUUGCGAAGGCAGCUGGCUACACAAAUAUUGACACUGAGGCACGAAAGCGUGGGGAUCAAACAGG
rnacentral:rRNA from 1 species